UACAGAGGUCUCAAGCGUUGUUCGGAUUCAUUGGGCGUAAAGGGUGCGUAGGCGGCGCGGUAAGUCGGGUGUGAAAUCUCGGGGCUUAACUCCGAAACUGCAUUCGAUACUGCCGUGCUUGAGGACUGGAGAGGAGACUGGAAUUUACGGUGUAGCGGUGAAAUGCGUAGAUAUCGUAAGGAAGACCAGUGGCGAAGGCGGGUCUCUGGACAGUUCCUGACGCUGAGAUGCGAAAGUGUGGGGAGCAAACGGG
rnacentral:rRNA from 1 species